UCGGUUACGACCCCAACCCCUCAUCUCUCUCCAUCUAUCUUGGCCUCUCCUUCGCCGUCUUCUUAGGCUUCCUCCCCAAAUCCUCCAUCCCCUACCUCUCCUCUCUCCCCGCAACCGAAUCCUCAGCCUCAAGCUCUUCCAGGCUAAGAACCAGCUAAAAACCCUAAGGUCGAGGAGGAAGGAGGAUUCCAAGGCCAACGCCCGCGUCGUCGAGAUCUUCGCCAGCCACCGCCACGCGUGGCAGCAGGAGGAGCGACGACUUUUGGAUCAGAUCGAGUCGACGAACGAGGAGAUCGAGGGGUUGAGGGGGAGGGUCGGGGAGCUCAAGAUAGAGGUACGAGUUUACUGUUUUUAAUGAGUUAGUUGCUGGAAGAACAGUCUGGACAGGUAUUAUUUAUCGAAGCAUGUAUGCAUUUUAAGCUUAGCUUCUUAUUGGCUCUCCCUAUAGUCUAUAUUUCCCCCUGUUCUUGAAAGAUUUUCCUUAACAUUUCAUGUUUGUUUUACUACAGUACCACCUGAUGAGGUGCAGGCUUUGUUGGUUUUUUAUGGUACUUUACUGUGGUUUUUUAGCUAUAUAUUCAUAGGCAUUUCAUGUUGUUUCUUGCUUUAGCGAAAUCCAUGGAAUUUUGACAUCUUGGUUAUUCUUAGUGCAUCCUGGCCUUGUUUAUGAGUUUUAUGUAAACUUUACCCAUGCUAUUUUUUAUAAUACUUGCUUGAUGCGUUCCCUCCAUAUUUUUAAUGAUCAAUUGUUGUGGUUCUUACCUAAUGCAGAUGGUGAAGCUCCUGCUUUUGACGAGAGCCUAAAAGUUUGGAUCUUUUUGACAAAAAAUGUUGAAUUUAAGUGAGAGUUUUAAAUCGUGUACAUAGCACACUUCUCCUUGCUGCAGUUAUGCUUGUUUCUCAUUAAUAUUUCAAUGUGGUUGUUCCUAGAAGUGUUUAUGUUUACACUCGGUUCUCCUUAUAUGUUUUUCUCUAUCUGUUGUGUUCUGUUGUACACUUUUUAUUAUGGAUUCAUGAUUUAUUUGCUAAAUGGUGAUGUAGGUGUGCCAUGGGAAAUUGCUAUAGUUUGUUGAAAGAUCAUGAAACUACACUGAAAAAUUUUCUGCGUGCAGUGCAACUAGACUCGAGAUUUGCUUAUGCUCAUACACUAUGCGGCCAUGAAUCUGGAAUGCAUAUUUACUGUCAUAUGUAACCUUGUCACAAGAGCUAGCAGUCUAGAUGAAGCACUGGAGAUGGCAAAACUCAUUUCUGCAAAAGUCGCACAGCAACCGAAUGAUAGACCCGCUCUGCGCUUGAAAAUCUUAUUCAAUCUCUACAACCUGUUAGAGAACCUUACAGCAGGUUCUUUGUUUAUACAAAAGCGCUUGACUUGGCAACAAAUGGGAAAGUAAUUGAAAAUAUCAUCCCUUCUUUUAAAAAGAUUGAUAGUUUGUUACAAGAAUGGAAUAUUGGUAAAGUGGAUCAGAGGGAUCUUUUCCUUACCAUCUCUAACAUUUUGAAGGAUAAUAAAAGCAUGGCCAAAGAUUCUUUUAAUUUCCUGAACAAGUACCUAGCAACAUUUUCAAGUGAGGAUGAGGACUCAUAUGCAACUAAUGAAACUAAAGAGGAAGCAGUGCGGGCUAUUAUAGAGUUUGUGAAGUCUCCAGACAUGUUUCAGGUUCAAGUCAUGUGUGCAGUACCUAUUUUGGAACAAAGCCACCCUCCCUUGAUAUAGUGAGGAUAUUCAAUUUCAGUAAUGAAGUAUACCGCAGGAUUCUUCAAGCACCAUUUUCUGUAUUAUCUCUAUCUCAAAACAAUGUCGCUAUUUCCUUUGAAAAGGACCCGAACGUCCAGUCUUUCGAACUGCAUUAUAAUGCCUGUAAUGCGUCCUUAUUGCCAUGUUCUUCUGAUGGAGUUGAUGACACACAUCAGAGCACUUCUUCCUUAGUGCAAAAA